CAGUGGCGGCGUGCUUACCAUGCAAGUCAGGGAGAAAGUCUCUUCGGGGAUGAUUAAACCGGCGCACGGGUGAGUAACACGUGAGUGACCUGCCUUUUAGACUGGAACAACUUACCGAAAGGUGAGCUAAUGCCGGAUGAGUUAUAUAAGUGCAUGUUUAUAUAGGAAAAGUUGGGGAGACCUGACGCUGAAAGAUGGACUCGCGUCCCAUUAGCUAGUUGGUAGGGUAAUGGCCUACCAAGGCGACGAUGGGUAGCCGGCCUGAGAGGGUGGCCGGCCACACUGGGACUGAGACACGGCCCAGACUCCUACGGGAGGCAGCAGUGGGGAAUUUUGCGCAAUGCUCGUAAGAGUGACGCAGCGACGCCGCGUGAAUGACGAAGGCCUUCGGGUCGUAAAGUUCUUUCGACAGGGAAGAAAAUGCCUAUAAGUAACUGUGUAUGUAUUGACGGUACCUGUAUAAGCAGCCCCGGCUAACUCCGUGCCAGCAGCCGCGGUAAUACGGAGGGGGCGAGCGUUGUUCGGAGUGACUGGGCGUAAAGAGCACGUAGGCGGUGUUGUAAGUCAUUAGUCAAAGACUAGAGCUCAACUUUAGUAAGGCUAGUGAUACUAUAAUACUAGAGUAUCAGAGAGGAUUGCAGAAUUCCUGGUGUAGCGGUGAAAUCACACGU
rnacentral:rRNA from 1 species